AUUCACUCUCGUAUAAAAACACAAAGCAAUGGCUAAGCUCAUUACAACUGUGGAAAUGAGUCGUUUGAGUUUGUGCUUCGCGCUGUUUUCAGUGGCGUUGGUUUUGCUGGAUACGACAACCGCAACACCCACCGAAGCAGAUCAAAGGUUUAAAAGAAGUCCUCAAAUGCCACAAAUGCCGCAACCGCCAUCUCCGCCAAGUGGAUUUCCAAACCCACCAUCUAUGCCAUCGUUCCGAAGAAUCGUUAGGCAGCUCCCGGAGGAUAUACCCGAGGAUGUACCCCACGAGUUUCCUUCGGUGAAUGUUCAAUCGGUGGUCUGAAGCCGACACGUCUCCAAGCUAGAACCCAGCGCCACGUACAUGGAAGUGAACCGAUGGAUCAUGUAAGGACAGAUCGCAGCAGUGGCAGAAUGGUGAAUUAUCGUUUGAAGCGAGAAGCACGUGGUACUGGUGGAAAGUUUCCGAACCGGGGAGGAUGAAUUUCAAUUUUUAAUUUAUACUUAAUGAUGAUUUAAGAAUCACAAGUCGAAUAAAGCUAGCAAUCAAUCAAAAUUUAUUUAGUUCGAAUUUACUGCUUCAGAUUUACGGCCUUCAGAAAUGCAUAACUCAGAAAC